UACGUAGGUGGCAAGCGUUGUCCGGAAUUAUUGGGCGUAAAGCGCGCGCAGGCGGUCCUUUAAGUCUGAUGUGAAAGCCCACGGCUCAACCGUGGAGGGUCAUUAGAAACUGGGGGACUUGAGUGCAGAAGAGGAAAGCGGAAUUCCACGUGUAGCGGUGAAAUGCGUAGAGAUGUGGAGGAACACCAGUGGCGAAGGCGGCUUUCUGGUCUGUAACUGACGCUGAGGCGCGAAAGCGUGGGGAGCAAACAGG
rnacentral:rRNA from 1 species